rnacentral:lncRNA from 1 species
GACGUCCCCAGUGUGUACAAGCAAAGGUGAAAAAAUUGCUCUUAGCCGGAGAAUUGAAAAGCACUGGCGUCUUAUUGGUUGGGGCCAAAUCCAAGCUGGUAUUACUCUUGACGUUCCACCGUGCCCCGUCUAAGCGAGUCGGAUUACACAAUCAAUUACUAAAAGGACAGAUCAAGUAGUGAAACAACAUAAGACAGUAUUAGAUGAGUCGGGUUACACAAUCAAUUACUAAAAGGACAGAUAAAGUAGUGAAACAACAUAAGACGGUAUUAGAUGUGGGAAGGCAGGCAGUUGCUGGAAAUGAUCUUUGCCAGGUGGAGAAAACAUUAUUUUGAAUUUCGAUGCUUUAUAAUCUGCGAUAUUUUACAUUUCCUACUGAUGACAUGUUUCUUUCCCCCUCUUUUUCAUGCCUUGUUCGAGUGGUUGUACCUUGUAAUUCAUUAGGCCGGGUUGAUAGUAAAAUGUGUUCUAUUGGAGAUAUUGAGCUUGCGGCAGAUUUUGAACCACUUGUAUUGUUUCUUCAAGUUUUUGGACCAAAGUUUUUUUGGAUGUCUGCCACCAAAUGCAGAGACUUGCAUAGGCAAUUUUUGUUUCUGCCAUUGAUUAUAGUACACUUUAAACAUCUUCUUCGUCUACAAAGUACCUAAUUAUUGAGUAGCAGCAAAUUGUCCAUGAAACGGUCGAUCAUUAGCCUUAUCAUAAAAUGUCCUAAAGUUAUUAAUUUGAUAUUUCUUUUGAAUUUUAAGAGUGUCGAUGGUGAUGGUGGUGGUGCUUAGUAUAAUUGGUCGGUAUACGAGUGGACGAUUGCAGAAUAUUGUAGAUCCCCACUAUAAAAACGUAAAAGNNNNNNNNNNNNNNNNNNNNNNNNNNNNNNNNNNNNNNNNNNNNNNNNNNNNNNNNNNNNNNNNNNNNNNNNNNNNNNNNNNNNNNNNNNNNNNNNNNNNNNNNNNNNNNNNNNNNNNNNNNNNNNNNNNNNNNGUUCGGUGCUGGAUGCUGGUUUAAGUUGCUACAAGCUGCUAUAUAAUUGGGAAAUAAUUUCAGUUUCCGUCAACUUAAAUUCACAAAAAAGAAAAGAAAAAAAGCUUGUGCACAAUUACUGUAUUCUUGUGCUUUCGAAGAUUAUAAACAUGUCAUGAAAAGUUCUCAGGAAAUUUUGUGAAUGAAAUUCUCUCAAAGAUCCUGUCAGAUAGAAUGGGGAUGAUUCGACGGAUGGUCUCCAUAGUUAUGUUGGAUCAACACUCUCAGUCAUAGCAAGAUUAAGCUUUUUAACUCUUCAUUCAUUUCUUCUUAUCUUGUUUUUUUUUUCAUUUUAAUUAACAGCUUUGCUAUUCAUACACGUAGAGACAAGUCAUCAGGCCAACGAAUGUGGAGUACAUGCCAUUGGCUCUCGCUCUUUGUCGCUGUGUCUUGCGGUUCAUGGUUUAUCUACGCCCUCCUUUGUAGAGAUCUAUACAUAGAAGUAUACAUCUCCCUCCUUUUCCAGCUUUAACGUAAGCGAAUAAAAGAUCUGGAAAAAUAGGGAGAUAGUACACUUAACAUCUAUGAAUAAAUCCCUUCAAGGAGAGCGCAAGUAAACCAAGAACACAAGAAAGACGAUACAUACUGAGGUCAAAAUUUAAUCAGUAAAAGGACACUAGUUCAAGAAGAAAAAAUAGUUAGAGUGUCGUAUAUUGCGAUAUUUUCUCCACAACCCAAAUAUUUAGAAGCCUCAUUUGUGAAUAAGGACAACAAAGAAUUGAGAAUUUCCAUAUGAUGAUAAACUGAGAUGGAACCGUGGUAUAAGUUUUUGUUGGAGCUUACUUGAAACAGAGAGGAGUCUUCUCUUGUUAUAAAUACCUGGAUGUUAAAGGGAGAGUUCUGACUCUUCUACUAUUUUUUGAGGAGGUCUAUUUGUCAUACCUCCUUUUUGGCUUAUACGUGGUUACCCCGAAAGAUGACACGUGUAUAGUACUUUUUCCAAUUAAAGUGACAUUAUUCGAUAUGAGAUUAAUUAUUUAUUUCAAUAGCCACUUGGGAUAUGUUUGACUUUUGGUGUCCCAAGUCACCGGUUUAUUUUAAAAUCCCAAAUCGAGGAAAUUUCGAUUACCCAAUUGGAGGCUGCGAACAAGAAAUUCUUGAGUAAGGAAUUUUGUUGACCUGAGAGAAAGGUGAUAGGCACCCCCGUGGUUCUAGCAUGGUCGCUCAAACUUAUUAUAAGUGGCUAGAGACUUGAUUUGCUACACCUGUUUAAACCUAUAAUGUAAUUUUAGAUUAUUAACCGCUUUUAGCAUCUUUUAGAAAAUUUGCAAUGUCACUAAAAUACGUCGCGAAUCACGUCACAUAAAUGCGCACGUAAUUUUAGAUAUAUUUUAACUCCAUGGACAUAUGGAUUUGGGUCACAUAAAUGAGAACCCGGAAUUAGGAAGGUAUUUUAUUAAUAACUUCGCGCCUAUAGCAACUACGUCUUCAAAAUUCAUGGGAAGACCGUGAAAUUCGCUAAACGGCCCUUCCUAUUUUUCUAUGUGUUUUAGUGAAUUAAAGAGUCAUCGCAGGGUAUUUGACUGGAUUAACGCGGCUCACUUCAUUUUAUAAGGACAUUCUAAUGCAUACUAAGUUCUCUAUUAUUGCUGGUGUUUAAAUGCACUAAGAAUUUUAUGAAUAGACUGUGUAUUUUGGGAAAAUAAUACUUGCAUCUUAGCCUCAUUCAUGGCUGAUUAUACACAUUGGGUUUCCAAUUUUGACCAGUCUAGGAACACACAUUGUUUAUUCUGCGACUAGCAGCUAUUGGGCCCUGUUCCGGACUGGCUUAGGCCUUUUACUCAGCCCAAAAACAUGUAGUGUUACAAUACCCCUGGUGCAUACUGGGCCUCUCAAUUGGGCCCAGGGUUGAUUUGAACGAAAGAGUCCAUUAUGAACAAUUCUCAAUAAUGUUUCUUUGGCUUGAAAUUAUACACAAAAUUAACUAUCUACACAUUCACAAAGAAGAUACUAACGAUCAUUUUAUAUCAAUUUUUAGCAUUAGAUCUGAAUUAAAUGAUUCAUAUACUCGUUAGUCGGAGUAUAUGAAUCCAGCUUUCAAAAUUCAAUUGUGAUUCUGAUUACGAUCUGAACUAAAUGAUUCAUAUACUCGUCAGUCGGAGUAUACGAACUCAGUUUCAAAAAUUCAAUUGUGAUUCUGAUUACAACAUGUUAAAUAGAUCUGAAACAAAUCGUUGCUAAAUGUACUGAAACUUAAAUGAAUUAAAACGACACAUAAUGUUUGGAUUUUAAGUAAUUACUAAGCUAAAAUUUCCUGAAUCCCUUAUUUCUAAACAAAGCAGGAAAUAAACACCAAAAACAACAACAUCACUAGCUAACCAUACUAUCAGUUAUACAUACUAAAAUAAUAGUUCGAAUGUCCAUAUAUUACAAGAUAAAUCAGUCCCUAAUGUUCAGUUAUUACAAAAUGAACUAGUUCAAACGUUUAAUUACAACAAGGUGAGUGUAUUAAAACUAAACGAGGGGAAAACAGGGUGAGGAUUCAAAACCAAAAAAAGAUAGAAGCAGAUCUCCAUACUUAAGAAUACAUUCUAUUUCAGCUUCAAUACAUCAAUGAACAUCGAAUGUACCUGCAAUUCAGCAAAGAAUGAAAGCCUAUGAGUAAAUGCAAUUAAUCAGCCAAGCAUAACAGUAGCCAAUCAAACAGUACACCUUGGACUUCAGCAGAUUUUUGAGUGAAUUAAAAUCUCAAAAUGAUAAGAACAGCACUGAUCUUUUAUCAAAGAUAUAGGAAGAACUAAUAUGUAUUUUGCUCUUCUAGAAUUCAAAAGAAAAGUUCCGGAUGCCUUCAAAAAAUGCUCAUAUGCUUUCUUUUAUAAUGGAGCCUUUGGGAACCACCUUUUCCCUAGUUUUUCUUUUAGUCCUUGCUUCAUAUUUACACUUUUCCUAAAUGGUCCUUCAUUUCUUGACUUGUGCCUCAAGUUUGAGGCAGAAAUUAUAUUUUUGCCCCUCACUAGAAGGUUUUGGAGGUUAUUAUCAGGUUCUCUUAAAGAUCAAAUACCUCUUAUACCCCCAUUUCUUUCCUAAAUAACAAUUCUGAAAUUUGAACCUCAGUCUAUCAUCUGGUUUGGUUACAAUUGACCCAGGUUAAUUAUGUUCAAGUUUGGGUCACAUUUUAGUCUUGGACUAACAGGCUUAUUAAAGUUCAAAAUUAGCCAAAAUUAGUCAGGUUUUAAAACUAGUGCCUUAAUGUGAUUUUUCAAUAACCAAACAUUAUACAGGAUGAUCAUUCAAAAAACAAUAUCAAUCAGGUUUUAAAACAAGUGCCUUAAUGUGAUUUCUCAAUAACCAAACAUUUUACAAGAUGAUCCUUCAAUAUCAAAAACAAUAAAUUAAAAUGCCCAGAAGAGGGGAACCAUCCCUCAACACUUAACUUGCAGAAAUAAACCAAUUAAAGUAUUCAGAGAUCUUGAAAAUGAAAAGCAUACAGCAGGAAGUGAACACUUAGUUCAUGAAUCUAAUUGGAAAAUUAAGGCUAACAUUAGCAAUUAAAGGUCCAACCAAACAAAUCAGCCUAAAAUAAUACCAGUACUGAAGAUCAAAAUUACUAUGAAAAUCCAACACUUAGUAGCAUGAACAACUAACAAAACUAAAUAAAAAUCACACUACUCAAGAAGCUAAUAUUAACAGGACAUCAAACCGUUCAAGAGACGAAGGGAUUUCAGACUAGUAACUACCAAGGCAUAUAGCAAGUAUAGCUGACUGUUUAGCCUAUUUCAUAUGAGAUUAUGUGAAACAAAUAAUCAUUCAAAACAAAGCAGCUAACAAUUAUAAAAACACAACAAUUAUGCACAGGUGAAGAUAGUGAUUAAAAUACAUGAGGCUUAGCUUUUAUACACAUGCAAAUCCGACUUGGAAUUACUUUAUUGGUUUCAGACCUCUUCUGUAGAGGUUUUUGAACCUUCUAGGGCAAAUGGCAUGGUGGAUAAUAGGUUCAGGAUUUCCGGAAGAACAUUUAUGACUUUGAGACCCCAGUGAAGUCUCAGAUCUGAAUUUCUUUAGUGAUUGGUGUUGUGUGGGGGUUGUGAAAGGUAUGGUUGGGGAAAGCAACAGAUGGGGACUGUCUGAGACGAAUUUGAACAAAUUCCGACAGGGUUGAGUUUUAGGCUUAAACUUCAACUUAAUAUUCGAAGCGUUCUGAAUGGAUUCGAAGGGUGUAACACACAUGGUUGGAAAGAGGAUGAUGAGUUGUUUUAGGGGUGUGAUUUUGGAGGGGUUUGGAAUUGAAUCGUCGGAGAUGGAGGUUCUGACGACCUUUCUGUGAAGAUUUUAGAUGAUGGGGGGUCAUUUGAAGGGAAAGGGCUGCAGGAUGGGGAGGUUUGGGACAAGGUCACCGGAGACGGUGGUUCCAGAGACUUUUAUUUUGAAUAUUCUAGAAGCUAGGGCCUUAUUUGAUGAAAACUAAACACAGGACGGAAAAGAGCAGGUUGUGAUGGUUUGAGGUGUAAAUCUGGGGACGUUUGGUGACCAGCCGCCUUCGUGAGGUGAUUUUCGGCGGCGGCGUUAGGGUGGUAGACUAGUGGUCAAUGGGUGGUCAAGGGCGGCCAGGGGUGGUCAAGGGGUGGCCAAGGGUGGUGUUACAGUGGAGUAGAUUGUAAGAUGAAGAAUGGAAUUGUGUCUCUAAGUGUAUUAGGAGUAUUUUGACAUAUAUGUAUUAUUUUGGUUGGGUUUCCAUGGCCGUUGGAUGAUUAAUUGGUCAACGGCUGGGAUGCCUUAUUUCCAAACUACGUCGUUUUGGGGUUGGUUUUGUGUGGACCGGAUCAGGGUUGGUUGUUUGGGCUGGGUCUGUGGUUUUUUAAUGGGUCAAAAUAUUUGGGCCACUGAGGUUUGGCCAAUUGUGGAAAGCCUGAGUGGCUAUGCCUACAUGUAUAUAUUUUGUCUUUUUUCUUUUUAUUUUAAUUAACAAGGAUUUCUAAUUAACACAAAUAAAAUGCAACAAGUUGAAAUUAAACCAACAAAAAUAAUUAAAAAUGCCAGAAUUAUUAUAUAUAUAUAUAUAUCUAUAUAUAUAUAUAUUAUUGUUUAAAUGUAUUAAAUGUAUAUAGGUUAUAUGUAAUAGAGAUAUAUAUGUAUAUAUGUGUAUAUAUAUAUACAUACAUAUAUAUAUAUCUCUAUUAUAUGUUGUUGUUUAACAUGCAUUAGUGAACAUGCACUGGCAUACGAUUAAAUUCUAAUAAAUCCUAAAAAUAAAUAUUUAAAGAAAAUCCUAAAUUUUGAGAGUCGUGUAGGAGCCGUUUCAACAGGGUAAAAAUCAUAUGCUCACAGUUGCCCUUCUUUGCGCCGGAACAUGAAGAGUUUUCGUGCAAAGACAAGUGAGCAAAUAUGAGCGAUUUUUGUCCGAUUGAAUACUCCAUGUGAAGCAUUUUGAAAAAUUUGUUGCUUCAAAGGUUGCCUACAUAUCCUUGGCGAUAAAGGAAUCAGGUCAAUGUAGUUCUUGAAGUUUUGGUAGCUGGGACUACCUGGAAACUGUGAUUGGCUACCGUUGAUGCUGUUUCUGCUUGCUGAGCUCCUUAUUACACCAAAGGAAAACCAAAAACUAAGCUAGCUAAACCUAUCAACUACAAGUUACAAGAUUCCUAUCUAUGGUUCUCUUGAAGCUUGAUCUUGAGUCUUGGAUAUCUUUUGCGGCAGACUCUGAUCUGAAUCUUGAUGCUCAUUAGCUGCAACUGGUGACUCAGUCCUCAAUAAAGCGGGACGUGCAGAGCUUGUGACUUCAAAUAUAUUUUGAGCAGUCCGUGUCUUUGUCCGCUUCAUCAUUUUGAGUUCACUUCUUUUAUCCUUUUCCUUUUCUUUUGUUCUAAAUUAACACUCAUGCUUUCAGUCAUUCCGAAUCUUGUGAAGCCUGCUCUGACAGCAACAAAAACAAACGAACAAAAUUUUAUUGCCCCAGUUUUUACUGGAAAAUUUCGUGAGUUAUUUGCAACACACAUAUAUGCUACUCUUUAUUGAAAACAAUAAAAAUUGAAAUUAUGUAUCCAUUAGAAACAUUUCCAGGUUAUGCUGGGAAAGAGAAAGGGUUCCUACUUGGGAUAAGAUGAGAAUCCAGGGGUUAUGCAAGGAUAGGAAUGAAAAGAGUCUCUGUGGGGAUGGAAAGAAAAGAUCCGCGGGUUAUGCCAGGAUAGGAAAGUUCCUGCUAAGGAUGGAAGAAUAGUCAUGGGUUAUAAAGAAAUUCCUGGGUUAUGCCAGGGGAUCCACGGGUUGUGCCGGGAUGAAUGAAAAAAUUCAUACGUUAUGCUAGGGAAGUCCAUGGGUUAUGCCGGGAUUGGAAAGAGAUCCCGUGUUAUGCCAGGGGAAUCUGCGGGUUAUGCCGGGAUGAAUGAAAAAUCCUAGGUUAUACUAGGGAGAUCCACGGGUUAUGCUGGGAUGAAAGGGGAUCCUGGGUUAUGCACGGGGAAUCUUUGGGUUAUGCCGGGACGAAUGAAAAAUUCCUAAGUUAUGCUAGGGAGAUCCAUGGGUUAUGCUGUGAUUGGAAGGAGAUCCUGGGUUAUGCCAAGGGAAUCCGCGGGUUAUGCAUGGAUGAAUGAAAAUAUCCUAGGUUAUGCUAGGGAGAUCCACAUGUUAUGCCGGGAUUGGAAGGAGAUCCUGGGUUAUGCCAGGGGAAUCCACGGGUUAUGCCGGGAUUUUAAGGGGAUCCUGGGUUAUGCCAGGGGAAUCCGCGCGUUAUGCUGGGAUGAAUUAAAAUAUCCUAGGUUAUGCUAGGGAGAUCCGCGGGUUAUGCCGGGGUGAAUGAGAAAUCCUUGGUUAUGCUAGGGAAAUCUGCAGGUUAUACCGGGAUAAAUGAGAACAUCCUAGGUUAUGCUAGGGAGAUCCACGUGUUAUGCCAGGAUGAAUAAGAAAAUCCUAGGUUAUGCCAGGGAGAUGCACGGGUUAUGCCGGGAUGAAUGAGAAAAUCCUAGGUUAUGCUAGGGAUAUCCACGGGGUAUGCCAGGAUGAAUGAAAAAUCCUAGGUCAUGCUAGGGAGAUCCGCGGGUUAUGCCGGGAUGAAUGAGAAAAUCAUAGGUUAUGCUAGGGAGAUCCGCGGGUUAUGCCGGGAUGAAUGAAAAAUCCUAGGUUAUGCUAGGGAGAUCCGUGGGUUAUACAGUGAUGGAUGAGAAAAUCCUAGGUUAUGCUAGGGAGAUCCGUGGGGUUAUGCUGGGAUGAAUGAAAAAAUCCUAGGUUAUGCUAGGGAAAUCCACGGGUUAUGCCGGGAUGAACGGAAAACUCCUAGGUUAUGCUAGGGAAAUCCACGGGUUAUUUCGGGAUGAAUGAAAAAAUCCUAGGUUAUGGUAGGGAAUUCCAGGGGUUAUGCUGGGAUGAAUGAAAAAUCCUACGUUAUGCUAGGGAAUUCCACGGGUUAUACCGGAAUGAAUGAAAAAUCCUAGGUUAUGCUAGGGGAAAGCAAUGCAGUGGAGGACCACAGAGAUCCUUUUGACUAUACUGGGGAUGGAGGAGGAAAGGAUCAACCCUUAGAUUAUGCUAAAGGUAGAGGAGCGUUAACUCCUAGACUAUGAUGGGGAGUAGAAAGUGUAGGGAGGGAAUCCUCAGGUUAUGUUGGGGAUGUGGAGGGAAACUUCCUGAUCAAUGCUGGAGGGGGUGGAAUGCAAUCCUCGGGUCAUGCCUAGGAAAAUCCACAAGCUGCAUAAGGGGAAACUAAGGAUUUGAAUCCCGUGCUAUCAUGCUUAUUUACGAAUUUGCAAGAAAAUGAAAGAAAACUUCCAUUUGGUUAUUGACGCAACACCAUACUUGGUUUCUUGUGCCCGUCUUUUGGUGGUUUUUUCCCUAUAUUCCUUUUGCUUUUCUAGGUUGCACCUGCAUCUAUUUUAGUUCAGAAACAAAACAAAAUGUUAGUUUGAACAGUGAUUGAUUUUGCGUCCUUGUCACGCUUGAUUUUAACUUCCUUUGCGUUCAAAAGCCAACCCUUGACUUUCAAUCCUUGCUUUGUUGAUUGGUCAGGGGGUCCUCAUUUCGAAUUGGUCAUUGUUUCUCGAUCCCUGGGUUGUAAGUUUUGUCCCGACUUGGAUUUUAGGCUUACUUCGGGAGACCCUGUCAUGCCUAAAACACUCUGAUUUUGCUUCAUCUUCAUAGGAUUGGUCUUUGUCUCUCGGGCCUUGGGUUAUGAGUUUUGUCCCGCCUUUGGUUUUUGGGCUUGUUUUUGAGAAUUUUGAUAAGAAUCAACAUCCUGUUUGGCUUAAAACCCCUCCGAUUUUGCUUCAACUUCAUACCUCUUUGACAUUGAAUUUCCGUUCUUUUAUUUUUUAACCUUUGAGACAUUAACUGUCAUGAUCAAACGGGAUUGGCUAUGUGCGCUUGACGAUGUCGGGCAUUCCCUUAGUUCUUGCCAGGAGAAAACCGCGAAGCCGACCCUGCUACCUUUCAUAAGGAAUGAUCAGGACAUCAAAAUUAAAGUGGGAAGGAGUGAACAAUGAAUUUAGAGAGGUAUGUUCUUUUGAAGGAAAAGAGGGAACUCAUAUGGAAAUAUAAGCCGGCUUUAAAUGGCGGUGACAUGAUUCUUGGAAUGGAUACCCUGCCCAAAUCCAUUUCUGCUUUCUGGCUUCAACUUUUCCGAAAACCAAAGAAACUUACUCAGAGCUGGGCAGCAACAUUUCCUCUUUUCGGCAGACGGCGCCCUUUUCAGGAUUUCGCCAAUCGGCCUCUCUCAUUUCUGUUCUCUCGUCACCCAAUAGAGCUCUUUGCGAGUUUUUGCUAAACGGACUCUCCCAUUUUGUUUUUCUAUGCUCACCGUCGCCUUACGGUGCCCGGAGGUUUUCACCGAUAAUACUUUCCCAUUUUAUUUCUCCCAAACAUUUGAUUGGUGUCGAAUCCCAACAACGGUAUUUUUCCCCCCCGUGGAUCUAUAACUUUAUGACCAUUCAGAUAGAUUGGUAACCGAACCAAUGCAUUUCUGGCCAGUUUUUGAUUUUUGUGGGUGAAUGGGGUUUUAUUUUGAUAUGACUGAACCUCAGGGAGAGGCUGCCUACGUAUCCUUUCGGAAUCAAGUAAGACGUAUUUCAGGAAGUAUUUCCUAAACUAAUUGUGUUUUGUUAUUUCUCUCUUUUUUCAUUUUGUCAUUUUUCUUUUGAUUUCUUUUUUUUUCUUUUUUCUUUUUGUUUUCUCUUCUUUUUUUUUUUUGUUUUUUCCUUUCUUCUCAUUUUUUAUAACAACAUUUCUGGUUUACAAAGAGGGUGGGGGUAGCGGGAAGGCAAAUCCUUCGUCCUUUCUAUCCACAGGGGUCAUUGCUACAAGGGAUUCAAACAUAAUACCUUUUUGCUGCGUCGGCAUUUACCGCUGCCUCGCGUUUGUCUCCUUCAACAUCGCCCAGGUACAAAUAUCUUCCUGAUGAUGUACAUGCCUUUCCAAUUUGGAGAGAAUUUUCCUUUGGCUUCCUGAUGAUGAGGAAGUAUCCGUCUCAAAACCAACUGCCCGACUUCGAAGUUCCUGGGGCGCACUUUCUUGUUGUAAGCAUGGGCCAUUCUUUGGUUGUACAACUGCCCGUGACAUACCACGGCCAUUCGUUUUUUAUCAAUUAAUUCCAUCUGCUCCAACCAGGAUAGGGCGCACUUUCUUGUUGUAAGAACGGGCCAUUCUUUGUUGGUACAAUUGCCCGUGGCAUACCGCGACCAUUUGUUUUUCAUCAAUUAAUCCCAGCUGCUGCAAUCGGGUUUUGACCCAUUCACUAUCUUCGAUUUCUGCUUUGACAAUCACUCAGAGUGAAGGGAUUUCUACCUCUACGGGUAUGAUGGUCUCAGUUCCAUAAACUAGCAAAUAGGGGGUUUCUCCUACCGAUGUACGUACUGUGGUGCGAUAUACCAUCAGUGCAAAAUGCAUCUUUUUGUGCCAUUGACUGGAGCUUUGAAUCAUUUUCCUCAAGAUCUUCUUAAUGUUUUUGUUGGCUACUUCGACCGUACAUUAGCUUUGGGCCGAUAAGGGGUGGAGUUUCUAUGCGUUAUCUUGAACUGUUCACAUAUCUCUCCCAUCAGCCGACUGUUUAGAUUUUUCGCGUUGUCGGUAAUAAUGGUAGUAAGAAUCCCAAAGCGGCAAAUGAUGUUGGAAUGCACAUAAUCCACUACCGCUUUCUUGGUAACAGACUUGAGGGUGAUGGCCUCAACCUACUUUGUGAAGUAAUCAAUGGUGACCAAUAUAAAUUUGUGCCCAUUUGAGGCUUUGGCUCGAUCGGCCCAAUGACGUCCAUACCGCAGGCGGCAAAUGGCGGGUGUUGACAUAGGAUGCGGUUCAUUUGGUGGUGCAUGAAUCAAAUAACUGUGCACCUGGCAUUGAUGACAUUUUCGGACGAAGCUAAAACAAUCUUUCUCCAUGGUCAUCCAAUAAUAGCCAGCUCGGAGUAUUUUCUUUGCUAGUACAUAGCCGUUCAUAUGGGGACCACACAUGCCCGCAUGUACUUCGUGCAUAAUUCUCCCGGCUUCUUUUGCAUCCACACAUCUCAACAAAUUAAGAUCCGGUGUUCUUUUAUACAAAGUGUCACCACUUAAGAAGAAAUUACUUGCAUGCCGUCAAAUGGUUUUCUUUUGUUCUCCAGUGGCUUGCUCAGGGUAUUCCAGUGUUCUUAGGAAUUUCAAGAUAUCGUGGUACCAAGGUUGUGUGUUGGGCUCUGCUUCGGUUGCAUUGCGAUACCCAUGCCUUUCUUUAAUUUGGAUUUGUAAAGGAUCAACAUAGGCGUUCCCAGGGUAUGGUAAAUGGAGGCCAAGGUUGCAAGUGCGUAUGCUUACUCAUUGUGGAGACGGGGAAUGUACCUGAACUGUACUGAUCUAAACUCUUUGCUGAGGUCUUCCACAUGCUGCCUGUACAGAAGGAGCUUAACAUCCCUUGUCUCCUAUUCUCCUUGAGCUUGUCGGAUGAUUAUAUAAGAAUCUCCCAUGAUUAGCAACUCUUUGACAUUUUGGUUAAUAGCCAUGCUCAUGCCCAUAAUGCAAGCCUCAUAUUCAGAUGUAUUAUUGGUGUAGAAGAACUAGAGUCUGGCUGUAGCUGGAUAAUGCUGGCCUGCGGUGAGAUAAAAAUUGCCCCAAUCCCUACGCCCUUUGCGUUUGCCGCUCCGUCGAAGAACAUUUUCCAGACGGGGGUGUCCUCAGCUGCUAUUUCCAAUGAGUUCACUUCUUCGUCAGGGAAGUAAGUGUUUAGUGGCUGAUAUUCGUCAUCAACGAGGUUCUCUUCCAGAUGAUCUGCUAAUGCCUGAGCUUUCAUCCCAGUACGAGUGACAUAUACAAUGUCGAACUCGGUGAGUAAGAUCUGCCAUUUGGCCAGUCAUCCUGUGGGCAUUGGUUUUUGGAAUAUGUACCUUAGUGGAUCCAACCUGGUUAUGAGGUACGUGNNNNNNNNNNNNNNNNNNNNNNNNNNNNNNNNNNNNNNNNNNNNNNNNNNNNNNNNNNNNNNNNNNNNNNNNNNNNNNNNNNNNNNNNNNNNNNNNNNNNNNNNNNNNNNNNNNNUAGGAGUUUUGAAUGUAAAGGAUAUGAGGUACGUGGUAUGGCAUUGCAGAUAAUGCCUUAGCUUUUGAGCUACCCACGUCAAGGCGCAACACGUUCUUUCUAACAAUGUGUACUUGGACUCGUAGCUGGUAAACUUUUUUCUCAGAUAAUAAAUGGCCCGCUCUUUCUUUCCCGUAGCGUCAUGCUGCCCGAGAAUACAAUCGAAAGAGCCUUCCAAGACCGUCAGAUAGAGAAACAGUGGCCUUCCUGGUUCUGGUGGAACUAAAACUGGUGGAUUGGAUAAGUAUUGUUUCAUUCUAUCAAAAUCUUCCUGACACUCGACUGUCUUAACUGCCGCAUCUUUCUUUAGUAACUUGAAUAUAGACUCACAUGUUGAAGUCAACUGGGCAAUGAACCGACUGAUGUAAUUCAAUCUUUCCAAUAGACUCAUUACACCCUUUUUGGUCUUUGGAGGGGGCAGCUCCCGAAUGGAUUUGAUCUUGGUUGGAUCCAAUUCGAUGCCUCUUCGGCUGACAAUGAACCCCAGAAGUUUGCCCGAUGGGACUCCAAAUGCGCAUUUUGCAGGAUUUAGUUUCAAAUUAUAUUUGCGGAGCCUUUCAAAGAAUUUUCUCACAUCCUUUACAUGAUCGCCCUGAGUCUUGGAUUUGAUAAUCACGUCAUCCACGUAGACCUCUAUUUCUUGAUGCAUCAUACCAUGGAAGAUGGUGGUCAUAGCCUUCAUGUAUGUUUCCCCAGCAUUUUUCUAUCCAAAAGGCAUAACUCUAUAGCAAUACGUUCCGCAAGGUGUGGUAAAGGCGGUUUUCUCAGCAUCUUUCUCAUCCAUCAACACUUUGUGGUAUCCUGCAUAGCAAUCUACGAAGGAUUGGAUCUCAUGCUUGGCACAAUUAUCGACAAGGAUGUGGAUGUUAGGCAGUGGGAAGUUGUCCUUAGGACUCGCCUUGUUCAAAUCUCUAUAAUCCACACACACCCGAGUUUUCCCGUACUUCUUUGGCAUCGAGACCACAUUGGCCAGCCAUGUGGUGUACCGCAUUACCCGGAUUACCCCAGCUUCAAGCUGUUUUGUAAUCUCCUCUUUGAUUUUGUCGUUGACAUCAGGAUUGAACUUUCUUUGCUUUUGUUGGACUGAAGGGCAUUCGGGGUAUAUAGUCAACUUAUAAACCACCAAAUCCAUAAUCAAACCAGGCAUGUCGUCGUAGGACAAUGCAAAUACAUCUUUGAAUUCCAACAGGAGUUGAACUAAUGAAUUCCGUAUUUCUUUAUUUACGUGGAUGCUUAUUUUAGUCUCUUUGAGUUAAUUGAGAUUGCACAGGUUAAUCGGUUAAGUAUCAUUUAAGUUAGUCUUAGGUUUGUUUUUGAAGAUUUCCAACUCUCGUUGAUUUCCCUAAAAGCCUCUUCUUCAUCGUAUUCCGGUUCCUGAUUUAUCAUUUCACAGAUGGGCAGCGAGUUUGGGUCGUGGCAUGAAGUCCUCGAGCAUGUUGUUUUAUUUAAAGCUGCAUUAUUGGGACUGAAAGAAAAGAUGAAAAUAAAGAAAGACAAAAAUUAGAGAAAGACAAAGAGGUGUGAUGACAAAAUAUUAAUUUUAUUGCUUUGAACUUAUAAGAUAAUAGGGUUUACAAUUGAGAUUCAAAGUGCUAAAAGGAAAACAAAACACCAAGCUACACAUGGUUGGACCAUGUUUACUUCGUAGAGCAACUCUCUCAUAGCCCGACAUAUCUCAUCAAUUUCUUCUGUCGUGAAGGUUUCUUCUUCCUCCUCCUCAUUGUACUUUGGUUUUAUAAAGGUUUUGUAUAAGUGAGGUAGGGGUUGUGGUAAGGCCCAUCCCUGGCGCUUUCUGCAAUUAGCCUAGAUGAUAUCUUCUGAGGUUGGAUGAAAGCCCAGUCCAAAGAACUUUUCUGUGGCAGGCAAGGCGACCGGAUCGGUUAUGCCUUGUAGGGAGCUUCCGAGUCCCUUGCGUGGCUUGAAACCUUAGCGCGUCAUUUCCUUUGCUACCAUAAUUGAAGCAUUUGACAGGAAAGGAUGGGGGAGCGGCUUGCCCUCUUCAUUCUGAUCAGUUACUACGACUUCAAAAUCCUGAUAGAUUAUGUGUUCACUCCGUAUCUUGGCUUCUAGACAGGGAACAGAGGGGUCCCGGUUAAUCGAUUGUUCGUCCUCUCCAUGAACUAUAAUCUCCUGAUUUUCAUGCUCAAAUUGCAGUAUUUGGUGCAGGGUCGAAGGCACUGCCCCUACUGCAUGAAUCCACGGCCUUCCUAGGAGGUAGUUGUAGGAGGCGUCCAUGUCCAACACCUGGAAUGUUACUUCGAAGUCGACUGGACCAAUGGUGACCACCAAAUCAAUUUCUCCUAUGCUAUCCCUUUUGAUUCCAUCGAAGGCUCGGACACAUACAUUGUAAGGACAGAUCCUCCCUUUCAAAUUCUCCAUUCUCUGCAAGGUAUAUAGUGGGCAUAUGUAUACUCCGGAACCUCCAUCGACCAUCACUCUUUUGACGUAAUCCCUUACGCUUGAUAAUGAGGUGAAAAGCCUUGUUGUGAGCAGCUCCCUCCGGUGGUAAGUCACUCUUAUGAACGAUAAAUGGUUAAUAGCGAAGAAUCUCUCUGCCAUUUUCUCUAGUUGCUCUACAGAGGUCUCAGCUGGUACAUAAGCUUCGUUCAGAGUUUUGGCCAACACUUGUUAAUGCUCAGGAGAUUUCAUAAAGAGUGACAAUAGAGAAAUCUGCUCAGGGGAUUCUCGGAGUUGAUCCACCACUUCGUACUCCGGCUUUUUUAUUUUCUGGAAGAAAUCUUCUGCCUCCUCAGCAUUCACUGGCCUCUUUGGCGGAAAUCGCUGUUUGGUAGCGGCGUUCACCUCUUCCAUGUCUGAGUAUUUCUUUGUGGGACAACCCUUUUGGGCUUCUCCGAGGACUUCUUUGCCCUUGUAUGUAACGAUGGUUUCCUGAUAAUGCGACUGAGGGGUUAGUCAUGGGCUUCUAUGGCGCGCGAUCGAUAACCACGAGCUCAUUCAGCACCGGUGGUUUAAUCGAUCCCCGUACCACAUAGGCUUUCUUGGGUACAUACAUGGUUUGUUCAGCUCUAACCUUUUUGGAGGGCUUAAUAUGGGCUGCUUCUAUUUCCGUCUUUGUGGGAUGUGGAGUAUUGUUUCCUUGGUAGGGGUCGUCUCAGUUUUGACCUCAACCUUCUUUUCUGCUUUAGGGCAUUUAACUUCUAUCAUUUUCCUUUCUUCUAUCUUCUUUGGGGUGUCUUUUUGUUUUCUAUCUGCUUCGGCGAUGGCUAUGAUGGCUUUCACAGAGGGAUCAAAUUCUUUGCCCUCGCAGAUCAUUCCGAUGAUCGGCCCAUCAUUGUGAGCCAUUAACGGUUUAUCAGUUACAUUUGGGACCUCUUCAUCUCUUAGUACUAUCUUCUUUUGAUCAAUCAAGUUCUCCACUGCUCGUUUUAAGGUCCAACAAUUUUCGGUAUCAUGACCCUCUGCCCAAGAGUGGCAAGCACAACGCACACCCUUUGCUAAGAAGGUGAUUCAGGAUUCUAUCUGUUUGGGGUACAGGCUGGAAGACCCAUGUGGACUAGUCUUGGGAAGAGGCUAGCGUAGGAAUCUCCUAUUGGGGUGAAGUUCUAUCUCCUGGGUGGCUCCUGGGGACGAUAAUUAUUUUGGUGAGGGAGGGGAUUGUAAUGAUUCUGAGGAAGUUGAUUUCUUGGAGCUUGAUUUCUAUUGUUCUUCUAUUGAGGUCGGGCAAAGGGAUGAGCGUUCAUAACUGCGUAGGGUUGAGGGACAUUGUGCAUGUCUUGGUGUGGAUAUUAAUGUCGAGGCACUCUUUCAGAGAAUGCAUGCCUGUGAGUGUGCUGUUUUCUCAUCCCGGAGGCUGCCAUGGAUGCUUCCUCUUUCUUCUUGUUCCUUGGAAUUCCUCCCGCCCCUCCUUGUAUGGCCUGGGAAGUGGCUCUUAUGGCGGAUUUUCUUAGAAUCCUCCCUGUUUUGAGGCUAUUCUCUACCAUCUCCCCAAUCUUUAUUGCUUCUGCGAAUGGUUUUCCCAUUGCAGACAUCAUGUUCUGAAAAUAGUCUGCCUCUUGUGCUUGCAGAUAGACAAUGACCAUAUCAGGUUUGUUCAUCGGAGGCUUUAAUCUCGAGGCUUGCUCUCUCCAUUUAAUAGCAUAUUCUCUGAAGCUUUUAGCAGGUUCUUCUUCAUGUUGGCUAGGGAAUUCCUAUCCGGGGCGAUGUCGAUGUUAUACUGGAAUUUUCUUACAAAGUCUCGGGCGAGGUCAUCCCAUAUGUGCCAUCGGGUAAUGUCUUGAUCUUGUACCAUUCGGAUGCAAUACCCACUAACAAAUUACGCCAUCAAGAGUUCUUCCUUACCGCUGGCUCAACGUAGUUGAUUGCCGUACUGUUUCAAAUAGGCGAUGGAGUCGCCGUGGCCAUCGUAUUUUUCGAAUUUCGGCAUUUUAAACCCCAAAGGAAGAUGUACAUAGGGGAACAUGCACACGUCUGAAUAAGCUACACUUUUCUGUCCACUUAGUCCUUAAUUUUCUUCAGGCUUUGCUCAAGACUCUUCAUUCUCCUUGUGAUUUCAUCCUGCUCGGGAAGUUUUAUCUUGCACAGGGGUAAGCUCAUAUGCUGGCUGAGGGUAGUUGUAUGUGGGGUACGGGAGAGGCUCAUUUUGGUAGUUAGGAGUUUUGAAUGUAAAGACUGUAGGGUCAAACACGGGCCUUGGUAAGCAGGCUGUGCGGUAGCUGCACAUAGAGGGGCCGUAAAAAUGUUGAGAACUGGCCUGGAUGCAAACAUUGGAGGGUGGGUUUCAGAAGGCGCCCAAACAAAAUUGGUUGAUAUGGUAGGCUGCCCCAGGAGAAUGUUUGUGUGACUGAUAGGGAUGGUGGAGGUACCCCCUGACCUUGGAAAUAGCUCAGGAAAUCCAGGGAUAGCGUUGGGAGGUUCUUUCCCAUUGGUCCAGACAUCCCACAUUUCCAUGACUUGGAGCCGCAGGAUCCUGUUCUCUUCAUUCGCUGCAGAUUCAGAGGUUGGUAUUCCUGUAAUUGGGUUGUCCUCUGGAAUAGGGACGGCUGGUUGAGUCAUUUCAGUCGACAUCUCUAUAUUUCCUUUUGACCGAGUGAGGUAUCCGUGUGAAGCCAGUUUAUCGUAAAACCAUCCAAUGUUCUAAACACAUGUACUGGGACACUGUAAAUGCAGUUAGUUUGGGGUAGAUAUCAAACAGGAAAUCACACGUUGGCAUGAUGCACCUAUGCAGAUAAUGGGUUUCUAUAUGCUUGCCAUAGUCGCAUGUGUCAUCCCGUCAUUUAUUUCAACUUCCUUUUUGUUUCAUGCCUCUUAUUCCUCUCUUUUUUUCUUUUUUUAAAAAGAAUAUGGUCGAAUCUAUAUAGAUUGCCUACGUAUCAUGACUUUGCAUGAAUCAGACGGAGCGUAGUUCAUGGAAACAAAAGGUUAAGUGCACAGUAAAAUGUUUUUUGGGAUUUUCAAUUUUGAUAAAAUAUAAACUUUGACUAGAAGGACGAAAAGCAACUACCCUACUGGGACUUAAAACCUUUAUAGAAUUGAAAGGACAUACAGACAGACUCUUUCUUCAGAAAAAUACAAAUUUACGAGUACAUUAAAACUUCAAAUGCUUUUGGAGCUUGCGGGGCAUCGUUCGGCCUUGUCGCAGGUUUGCACGCUAGACUUCCCUGGAGAUUGUGGAGAUCUUCCAUCACUUGAAGGACAAAUGUCAUAGCAGUGGCAAAAAACAUGGAUUUUGUCAUGUUCUCACAGUGAUUGCACUUCGUGGUAAUAUAGUCUGCAAUUGCCCGCACAUUUUCUCUGGUAACCCCUUUUUCUUAUAACAGACGCCCUACUUGCUCAGCCCGUGCUUCUAAAGUUCAUUUAGCUUCCUGAUUCAGCUUUUGAAACUGCCUCAAAUCUCUUUCCAACCCCGCUAUUACCGUAUAGCAAUGUUCUCUCUCGUCUUUGACAUCCUUGGCUUGUUUGGCCAUUUUGUUUUCAGCUAUGACAACCCUCUGUUUUAACCCAACGCUUUCGUUUCUUUUUACUGCUCUAGUAUGCGAGCCCUUUCUUCUCCGCUUUUAACUAAUUAUUUUCGGGCUCUAGAAAAUUCACCUUCUGCCUUAUUCAGGUCGAAACCAUAUUCAGUUACUUUUCGACGCAGGUUCUCUAUGAGAUUUUCCUUCUUUUGUACUCCUUGGAGGCUUUUCUGUGGCUGUUUUCAUUUUCUGAAUUUGGGCUAGCAAGGCUUCGUUUUCUUUAACCAAUACCUUUUUUUCUCCCUCCCUGGCUAUGGAUUGUGGACUGUUUUCGAAUUGCUAUUCUUGAAUUUUCUUUUCCAGCCUUCCUAUAGUAGCCCGGUAUUCAUUUUCUCUUGCCAAUCAAUCCCACUACUCUUUUGAAGUCUCGGUAAAUUCCUGGAGAUGAGGUCUUUUUGCCGGCCUCCUAGGCUCUAUAUCCCUAUUGUACCAAGUAACUUACCCCGGUGCAACCUCACCCUUAGAUACGUCACGUACUCUAGUGUCAGCUAUCAAAUAUUGGCAUUCGCUCCAAAUUUGCCGUACCACAGCUUUGGGGAGUUGACCAUUCGGGCUUAUCUCAACUGCAUGGCGGCUGAUAUCCUCGUCUUUGGGAAUUAUUUGGCAUCUUCCCAAUUGCCUGAUACUCUAUAUGGUGCAUAGGGUUGGAUGCUUCAGAUGUCCAUCAAAAGGAAAUGAGGUCCAGUGGCAGGAAUAUUCACAAUAUCGUCCAUAGAGAGCCAACUUAAUGUCCAUUCUAUUUGAUUUGUAGAAAUAACCCCGAGAUGCGACACCCACUCUGCGACACCCUCUUGUAGUUUAAACCUAUUCACCCUAUUGUCAAAUUCUUUUAUGCAACCUUUUGUUGGCAGCCCAUAAUUUGUGAACUGAGGCCUGUGACAUAAAUACUCAAUAAGCCAGAUUUGUAGCAGCAGGUUACAACCUUCAAAGAAAUCCCCUCCUGCUUUACAGAUGGUAAAGGCUCGGAAGAUGUCAGACAUGAUCAUUGGAGCAAGAGUACUUUUUGCCUGGGUCAUCAAAGCAGUAACGACCCCUGCUAUCCGUAUGUUGAUGUUUUCGUCCUUUCGCGGGAAUACUAAAUGACCCGAGAAAGACACCAUGAACGCGAAGCAUCGAUGCUUCUCCCACUUGAGCCGAUUACCCUUGCUACAAAUCAGAUUUUAAGGUCUGUAGAAUCCUCCGAUGUGGUCGUAUCUUUGGUAUAUAAACGGGAGUGUGCAAAAGCCAGCCGAUAAGUCGGUAUUGUGAAUUUUUCUGCUGAUUUUAAUGGUAUCCAGGAAUUUAUGCACAACGAAGGCUCUAGGUGCAAUCAUGUAUUGAUGUCUCAACGGGAUUGUAUGGGUCCCGAUAUAUCUAGUCAUUUCUUAUAAAUUCGGGGUUAGCUCAAAAUCCGAGAAGUGGAAGACGUUGUGGGCCGGGUCCCAGAAGGUGAUUAGGGCCUUUAUGAUAUCUCCCCUAGGAUUGAUUUUCAGCAAACUAGUGAGGCCCCCCAGAUGUGCAUUGACAUUUUCCCGUCCGGCUUCUGCGAGGUCAAUCCACCACAGCCGCAGCUCCAAAGGGAUUUUGUUGAUUAUCGUGCUCAUGUGAGACCUCCCAGGUGUGUGUUGACCCUUUUUUGUCUUGCUUCCCCGAGAUCAUUCCACUACAGUCGCAGCUCCAAGGAAAUUUUGUUCAUUAUCAUGCUCAUUCUGCACAUUUAUUAGGGCGAAUUAGUAUUCUCAAAACAUUAAAACUGACAUUUUAAAAAAUUAUUUCAAAACUAGGACCGGCUUUGCGAAUAUGGCCUUUCGACACUUCGGCGAUAAGGUUUUUCUUAUUUUAUGAAAUUUAUUUUUAAAACUAGGACUGACUUUGCGAAUAUGGCCUUUCGACACUUCGGCGAGAAGGUUUUUCAGUUUGUGCUUGCAUACCAAUCAGAAUGAAAUUCAGGGGUGGCCAUUUGCGCAAGAUCAGCCUUCCGGCGUCUCUUGUUGCAACAUUCAGCUAUUGUCACAAUACUGGCGCCAUACGACUUAUUUAAAACUCGGGCAAUUAUGACAGUUUUGAAAAAGGGGUUUGACCCGGCCAAAAUAAUUCAUCAAAACUCAUAGACGUCAUUGAAAACCUCCAAAAUUUGGUGCCUUUCCUGUUUUUUUUUGUUUUUGUUGUGGUUUUAUUUUGAAAAAUCUGGUGGCAUUUCGGCGCUAUUUGAGCGUUGGUUUCAAAGGUGAUUACCCUAGCACUGCAAUUUUGCUCAAUUUAUUCCCUUUGUUUACAGGCUAGUCAACAUGCAAAUCUAAGGAAAAUAAAUGCGCAAGUAGCACGUAAAAAUGCAUCAGGAUGGUCUUAUUUCAGGGCACCUGUCCUAGACGGACCCAACCCUUGUGUUGUGUCCCCUAAGUUAAAAUGCAUGAUGCAGAUAAACGUUCCUACUAGGGAUCUGGUAUGAGAUUUAAUAUACUAAGUGUAGGACCUCGGUAAAGGGUCUAGACUGUGUACCCGAGCGGAACAAAUCGAGUCGAGAAGGGGGCUACGUACCGGAAACCAAAAGGCCCUCCGGCUAAGUAACUUGUCCGGCCUCUUUCUUAUUUUAGGGUAAGAAACAAACAGAAUAGGGAGUCUCAACCAGUAAGCACAUCCCCGGAGGUGAGAAGUGAAGGAUUUCAUAGCAGUUUAUAUAUACAGUUCAGAUAAUAUCAAAGCGGUAAAACAUGUGGCAUUAAGCACUGAACAGGUAAGCAAAUAAGAAGAAGCCAAAUAUAACAGUUAUUUUAAGCUCAAAUUCUUGAACCCUGAACCAGAGACUCUGGGUUCUUGUCCCCAGCAGAGUCACCUGAGCUGUCACACCUCCUUUUUGGCUUACACGCGGUUACACCGAAAGAUGACACGUUUAUAAGAGUUUUUCCAAUUAAAGUACAUUAUUCGAUAUGAGAUUAAAUAUUUAUUUCAAGAGUCGCCACUUGGGAUAGGUUUGGCUUUUGGUGUCCCAAGUCACAUGUUUAUUUUAAAAACCCAAAUCGAGGAAAUUUCGACUACCCAAUUGGAGUCUACGAACCAGAAAUUCUUGAGUAAGGAAUUCUGUUGACCCGAGGGAAGUUAGGCUAACUCGGAUCCCGUGGUUCUAGCACAGUCGCUUAACUUAUUAUAAGUGGCUAGAGACUUGAUUCGCUAUACCUGUUUAAUGAGGCAAGGUGUUAGGAACCCCCGGAUCCCGUCGUUCUAGCACGGUCGCUCAAACUUAUUAGACUGGAUAGAGACUUGAUUUGCUACACCUGUUUAAACCUAUAAUGAAAUUUUAGAUUAUUAACCGUUUUAGCAUUCCUUUAGAAAAUUUGCAAUGUUAUUAAUACGUCGCGAAUCACGUCACAUAAAUGUGCAUGCAAUUCUAGACAUAUUCUAACUCUAUUGAGAUGUGGAUAAGGGUCACAUAAAUGCGCACCCAUAUUUAGGAAGGUAUUUUAUUAAUAACUUCGCGCCUAUAACAACUACGUCUUCAAAAUUCAUGGGAAGGCCGUGAAAUUCGCUAAACGACCCUUCAUAUUUUUCUAUGUGUUUUAAUGAAUGCAAGAGACAUCGCAGGGUAUUUGAUUGGAUUAACGCGGCUCUCUUCAUUUUAUAAGGACAUUCUAACGCAUACUAAGUUCUCUAUUAUUGCUGGUGUUUAAAUGCAGUAAUCAUUUAUGCAUAGACUGUGUAUUUUGGGAAAAUAAUACUUGCAUCUUAGCCUCAUUCAUGGCUGAUUAUACACAUUGGAUUUUUAGUUUUGGCCAGUCUAGGAACACACAUUGUUUAUGCUGCGACUGUCAGCUAUUGGGCCUCGUUCGUGACUGGCUUGGGCCUUUUACUCAGCCCAAAAACAUGUAGUGUUACAAUACCCUUGGUGCAUACUGGGCCUCUCAAUUGGGCCCAGGGUUGAUUUGGACAAAAGAGUCCAUUAUGAACAAUUCUCAAUAUGUUUCUUUGGAUUGAAAUUAUACACAAAAUUAACUAUCUACACAUUCACAAAGAAGAUACUAACAAUCAUUUUAUAUCAAAUUUCAGUAUUAGAUCUGAACUAAAUGAUUCAUAUACUCGUCAGUCAGAGUAUACGAAUUCAGUUUCCAAAAUUCAAUUGUGAUUCUGAUUACAACAUGUUAAAUAGAUCUGAAACAAAUCAUUGCUAAAUGUACUGAAACUUAAAUGAAUUAAAAUGACACACAAUGUUUGGAUUAUAAGUAAUUACUAUGCUAACAUUUCCUAAAUCCCUUAUUUCUAAACAAAGCAGGAAAUAAACACCUAAAACAACAACAUCACUAGCUAACCAUACUAUCAGUUAUACAUACCAAAAUAGUAGUUCGAAUGUCCAGAUAUUACAAGAUAAAUUAGUCCCUAAUGUUCAGUUAUUACAAAAUGAACUAGUUUAAAUGUUUAAUUACAACAAGGUGAGUGUAUUAAAACUAAAGGAGGUGAAAACAGGGUGAGGAUUUAAAACAAAAAAAAAA